GGGUUGUGAGGUUAAGCGACUAAGCGUACACGGUGGAUGCCCUGGCAGUCAGAGGCGAUGAAGGGCGUGCUAAUCUGCGAUAAGCGCCGGUAAGGUGAUAUGAACCG
rnacentral:rRNA from 2 species